rnacentral:lncRNA from 1 species
AUAUUUCACUAUUCAUUAUUAGUGUUAUAGUAAAUUCUGAAUGGAGCAAACUGUGAAAGAAGUGAGUUAAUGACGAAUUGAACUAAGAAUAAUUCAUCCAUGUUCAUGCCCAAUGUCUUAAGUUUUGCAGCUUUUCAGCCAUGUUCAAAAUAUGUUGCUGAAUUCUUUUUUGACCAUCAUAUUUCAUGGUGUCAAUUCAGCCAUCAAUGUGCCUACAAGAGACUUAUCGGCGCUUUUAAAAUGUUCCUCCACAUAUUUCAAAAAUUUUAAGGCUAUCUCAGUUUGAGGGAGGGAAGUUUUGAUGUUAGUGGCAAUAGUCAUUCUCAUAAAUAUAAGACUGAGUUUGUUUGAC